rnacentral:misc_RNA from 1 species
AAACUCUCAGAAUCAGAUUGUAUUACACAAUCUAUCUUAUUUGCAAUAUAUAAUGUAGCAUUCUGUUCAUACAAAAUUACUAGGGACUUGUCAACUAUCCUUUGAUAAGUAGUAACAAAAGCAGCCUCUCAAAUGGCAAGUGCUUUUUCCAAAUCAAAAGUAAACCAUAUCUCAUUAACUCUGUUCUUGAACUCAAAUGGGGAGUUGUAUCCCGCCACUGUAUACAACGUUGUAUUGUCUGCAGCAUGGCUUUUGUCGAUGGCUGCUGCCCAAUUAGUGCCAGCAAUACUGGCACUCAGGGCAGCGGCUUCUCUUGGAAGGUCAUCAUCAGCUAUAAAUCCACUGAAUUGCCUGACCGCGACGUAAGUGUCCCCCCAUUUCUGGAGAUGAAGGCCUUUAGCUGGAGGAGGAUUUGGCUGGUUCUUCUUUGGUACAUAAAAACUCACAACAAAUGAAGAAGCACAAAAAGGUCCAUCACUUGGCUUCACUUGAAUGAUAACUGGAGCUGUCAUCUUUACUGUCUCAUGGUACUUAUUCUUCCCUUGAAUGUAAUCAAAUAGCCUGAGGAAACCAGUUCUGGUGGCGGAAACAUAUGAAAUAUCAUCAAUAGGAGCAGUAGACAUCCACAUAGGGGAAUCGUAACGACGAAUUUCAUAGUCUUUUCCAGAUUCAAUCAAAUCAUAAUUUGGGCAUUCAAUUCUUUGACAAGUUGGAGGAUAGAAAUUCAACUUUGUUGAGUAACCAUUGCAUAAUUUGGAAACAAGGAACAGAAACAAACACAGCCUCAUCAUCAACAGAUUCAUACUUACACUAAGCAUUUUUAUUACUUUUUGCUGUUUUAAUUUGUCUCAAUGAAAUUUUGGGAGU